AUUGAACGCUGGCGGCAGGCCUAACACAUGCAAGUCGAGCGGAUGAAGGGAGCUUGCUCCUGGAUUCAGCGGCGGACGGGUGAGUAAUGCCUAGGAAUCUGCCUGGUAGUGGGUGAUAACGUCCGGAAACGGGCGCUAAUACCGCCUACGUCCUGCGGGAGAAAGUGGGGGAUCUUCGGACCUCACGCUAUCAGAUGAGCCUAGGUCGGAUUAGCUAGUUGGUGGGGUAAAGGCCUACCAAGGCGACGAUCCGUAACUGGUCUGACAGGAUGAUCAGUCACAUUGGAACGGGGACACGGUCCAGACGACUACGGGAGGCAGCAGUGGGGAAUAUUGGACAAUGGGGGAAAGCAUGAUACAGCCAUGCCGCGUGUGUGAAGAAGGUCUUCGGAUUGUAAAGCACGUUAAGUUGGGAGGAAGGGCAGUAAGUUAAUACCUUGCUGUUUUGACGUUACCAACAGAAUAAGCACCGGCUAACUUCGUG
rnacentral:rRNA from 1 species